UACAGAGGGGGCAAGCGUUAUUCGGAAUCAUUGGGCUUAAAGGGCGCGUAGGCGGAUGACCGCGUCGAGUGCUGAAAUCCCCCGGCUUAACCGGGGAAUGGGCCUCGAAACGGGUCGUCUCGAGGCGAGGAGAGGGACCUGGAACAUCCGGUGGAGCGGUGAAAUGCGUUGAGAUCGGAUGGAACACCAAUGGCGAAAGCAAGGUCCUGGACUCGUAUCUGACGCUGAGGCGCGAAAGCCAGGGGAGCGAACGGG
rnacentral:rRNA from 1 species